GCGGCUAUAGUUUAAUGGUAGAGCGACUGACUUCCAAUCAGUAAGCGUCGGUUCGAUUCCGACUAGCCGCU
rnacentral:tRNA from 1 species